rnacentral:rRNA from 1 species
AACAAGGAUUCCCCUAGUAACGGCGAGUGAAGCGGGAAGAGCUCAAAUUUAAAAUCUGGCAGUGUCAUGCUGUCCGAGUUGUAGUCUAGAGAAGCAUCAUCCGUGCUGGACCAUGUACAAGUCUCUUGGAACAGAGCGUCAUAGAGGGUGAGAAUCCCGUCCUUGACAUGGACUCCCAGUGCUUUGUGUUGUCCUCUCACCGAGUCGAGUUGUUUGGGAAUGCAGCUCAAAAUGGGUGGUAAAUUCCUUCUAAAGCUAAAUACGUUGGGAUGACCGAUAGCGAACAAGUACCGUGAGGGAAAGAUGAAAAGCACUUUGGAAAGAGAGUCAAACAGUACGUGAAAUUGUUAAAAGGGAAAC